AACCUGCCCUUUGCACUGGGAUAGCCUCGGAACCGAGGUUAAUACCGGAUACUCCAUAUUUGUCGCAUGGCGAAUAUGGAAGCUCCGGCGGCAAAGGAUGGGCCCGCGGCCUGUUAGCUAGUUGGUGGGGUAGUGGCCUACCAAGGCAAUGAUGGGUAGCCGGGUUGAGAGACCGACCGGCCAGAUUGGGACUGAGACACGGCCCAGACUCCUACGGGAGGCAGCAGGU
rnacentral:rRNA from 1 species